AACGAACGCUGGCGGCAUGCCUAACACAUGCAAGUCGAACGAGACCUUCGGGUCUAGUGGCGCACGGGUGCGUACCGCGUGGGAACCUGCCCUUAGGUUCGGAAUAACUCCCCGAAAGGGGUGCUAAUACCGGAUAAUGUCUUCGGACCAAAGAUUUAUCGCCUUUGGAUGGGCCCGCGUUGGAUUAGCUAGUUGGUAGGGUAAAAGCCUACCAAGGCGACGAUCCAUAGCUGGUCUGAGAGGAUGAUCAGCCACACUGGGACUGAGACACGGCCCAGACUCCUACGGGAGGCAGCAGUGGGGAAUAUUGGACGAUGGGCGAAAGCCUGAUCCAGCAAUGCCGCGUGAGUGAGGAAGGCCUUAGGGUUGUAAAGCUCUUUUACCCGGGAUGAUAAUGACAGUACCGGGAGAAUAAGCUCCGGCUAACUCCGUG
rnacentral:rRNA from 1 species